AAUUAAUUAUAUUGUUGUAUAUGUUUUUAAUAAUAUAAUAUUGUGUUUAAAAAAUUAUACUAAUUUAGUAAAAACUAUAAAAUUAUAUAGAUUUAGCUAUAGAAGAAUAGUACUGUGAAGGGUAAAUUAAAUUAAUGGGAAGUAAUAUUUUUUGUGUACCUUUUGUAUCAGGGUUAAAUAAUUGAUUUUAUAUAUAUUUAAUUUUCCCGAAGAAGGAUGAGCUAACUUAUAAUGAUUUUUAUUAUUGUAUAAUUAUUUAAAAUUUAAAGUUUGAUAUGAUAUUUAAUUCAAAUUCUUAUAUCUGGUUUUUUAAUUUAUGAAUUUAAUUCAGAAUAUUGAUGAUUUUUUUAAUAGUAUUUAUUAUUAAGUAUUUAUAUUUAAAUAUGCUAUGGAUAAACUUGGUAUAUAUUUUUAAAAGUAUUUAUUUUUAGCAGAGGAUUUGUAUAGACUUGUAAAUUGUUAUUAUUUAUUUUGUUAUAAUUAUUCCUUUAUCAUUAUAUAAUUUAUUAUUAUUUUAUUAUUUUAUUAAGAAUUAUUUUGUAAUUGAUUUAUAUAGAAUAUAAUGUUUAAAUUAGUAUAAUUAAGUAGUUAUUAUUUAGGAACUCGACAAAUAAUUUGUCUACCUGUUUACUAAAAACAUGUCCUUCUGGUUGUUUAUUUAAGGUCAGGCCUGCCCAAUGAUUAUAUUUAAUGGCUGCAGUAUAUUAACUGUACAAAGGUAGCAUAAUUAUUUGUCUAUUAAUUUUAGACUAGUAUGAAAGGUUAAAUAAGAUAUAUAUUUUCUUAAUAAAUAAAGUUUUGAAUUUAAUUUAUAAGUUAAAAAGCUUAUCUUUUUUUGUAGGACGAGAAGACCCUAUAGAAUUUUUAUAUAUUACUGUAUUAUAAUAUAUUUAAUAUAUUACACUGGGGAGGUGAUUAUACUGUAAACUAUAAAAUAUUUUGUAUUCAUUAAUUUAUGUAUUAUUGAUCCAUUAAGGUUGAUUAUUAGAAUAAAUUACCUUAGGGAUAACAGCGUUAUUUAAUUGGAAAGCUCUUAUUGAUAAUUAAGUUUACGACCUCGAUGUUGAAUUAAGAUAAGAUAUAGGGGUAGCUUUUUAUAUUUCUUGGUCUGUUCGACCAUUAAUUUCUUACAUGAUUUGAGUUUAGACCGGCGUGAGCCAGGUUAGUUUCUAUCCUUAAUUAUAUAAAUUUUUAAUAGUACGAAAGGACCUUAAAUAUUUAAUAAUUUUAAUUA
rnacentral:rRNA from 1 species